rnacentral:rRNA from 2 species
AACGAACGCUGGCGGCAGGCUUAACACAUGCAAGUCGAGCGCCCCGCAAGGGGAGCGGCAGACGGGUGAGUAACGCGUGGGAAUCUACCUUUUGCUACGGAAUAACGCAGGGAAACUUGUGCUAAUACCGUAUGUGUCCUUCGGGAGAAAGAUUUAUCGGCAAGAGAUGAGCCCGCGUUGGAUUAGCUAGUUGGUGGGGUAAAGGCCUACCAAGGCGACGAUCCAUAGCUGGUCUGAGAGGAUGAUCAGCCACAUUGGGACUGAGACACGGCCCAAACUCCUACGGGAGGCAGCAGUGGGGAAUAUUGGACAAUGGGCGCAAGCCUGAUCCAGCCAUGCCGCGUGAGUGAUGAAGGCCCUAGGGUUGUAAAGCUCUUUCGCCGGAGAAGAUAAUGACGGUAUCCGGAGAAGAAGCCCCGGCUAACUUCGUGCCAGCAGCCGCGGUAA